UACGUUCCCGGCCUUGUACACACCGCCCGUCACACCACGAAAGUCGGCAAUACCCGAAGCCGGUGGCCUAACCCGUAAGGGAGGGAGCCGUCGAAGGUAGGGUUGAUGAUUGGGGUG
rnacentral:rRNA from 1 species